GGUGUUGUGGCUCAGAGGUAGAGCACUCGCCUACCAUGUGUGAGGCACUGGGUUCGAUCCUCAGCACCACAU
rnacentral:tRNA from 1 species